ACAAGUCUUCAAACGAGGAAGCAGAGUCGGGGGACCCUAGUGUUUGCUCUCCCAUCUCUGGGGCCGAGGUUGCUGAGGUGGUUAAAAUGCU